rnacentral:rRNA from 1 species
UACGUAGGGGGCGAGCGUUGUCCGGAUUAUUGGGCGUAAAGAGCGUGUAGGCGGCCAGGUAGGUCUGCUGUGAAAACUCGAGGCUCAACCUCGAGACGUCGGCGGAAACCAUCUGGCUAGAGUCCGGAAGAGGAGAGUGGAAUUCCUGGUGUAGCGGUGAAAUGCGCAGAUAUCAGGAAGGAACACCCGUGGCGAAGGCGGCUC